GACGGAGGAUGCAAGUGUUAUCCGGAAUCACUGGGCGUAAAGCGUCUGUAGGUGGUCAAAUAAGUCAACUGUUAAAUCUUGAGGCUCAACCUCAAAAUCGCAGUCGAAACUAUUAGACUAGAGUAUAGUAGGGGUAAAGGGAAUUUCCAGUGGAGCGGUGAAAUGCGUAGAGAUUGGAAAGAACACCGAUGGCGAAGGCACUUUACUGGGCUAUUACUAACACUCAGAGACGGAAAGCUAGGGUAGCAAAUGGG
rnacentral:rRNA from 1 species